rnacentral:rRNA from 1 species
UAUUGGAGCGGCCGAUAUCGGAUUAGCUAGUUGGUGGGGUAACGGCUCACCAAAGGCGACGAUCCGUAGCUGGUUUUGAGAGGACGACCAGCCACACUGGGACUGAGACACGGCCCAGACUCCUACGGGAGGCAGCAGUGGGGAAUUUUGGACAAUGGGGGAAACCCUGAUCCAGCCAUCCCGCGUGUGCGAUGAAGGCCUUCGGGUUGUAAAGCACUUUUGGCAGGAAAGAAACGUCAUGGGCUAAUACCCCGUGAAACUGACGGUACCUGCAGAAUAAGCACCGGCUAACUACGUGCCAGCAGCCGCGGUAAUACGUAGGGUGCAAGCGUUAAUCGGAAUUACUGGGCGUAAAGCGUGCGCAGGCGGUUCGGAAAGAAAGAUGUGAAAUCCCAGGGCUUAACCUUGGAACUGCAUUUUUAACUACCGGGCUAGAGUGUGUCAGAGGGAGGUGGAAUUCCGCGUGUAGCAGUGAAAUG